rfam:Oryza barthii chromosome 11, whole genome shotgun sequence.
AAUAAGUGCAGUUUUGUACUAUUCAUAUCCAAUGUUUGACCGUUCGUCCUAUUUGAAAAUUUCUUGUGAUUACUAUUUUUGUGUUAUCAGAUGAUAAAACAAGAAUAGUACUUUAUGGGCGACUAUUUUUUUUAAUUUUUUCAUAAAUUUUUUAAAUAAAAUAAACGGUCAAACACUGGACACGGUUCUUCACGACUGCACUUAUU